GCUAAAAUGGUUUAAUUGGUAAAGCAACUGAUUUGUAAUCAGUAGAUUAUGAGUUCAAAUCUCAUUGUUAGCU
rnacentral:tRNA from 1 species